rnacentral:snRNA from 8 species
AUCGCUUCUCGGCCUUUUGUCUCAUAUCAAGUGUAGUACCUGUUCUUAUCAGUUUAAUAUC